UCUCCGUUGGUGAACCAGCGGAGGGAUCAUUACCGAGUUGACAAAUUCCAAACCCUUUGUGAACUAUACCAAACUGUUUCCUGCGCGGGGUCACGGCCCGGGCGGGUCGCGCCCCCGGAAGCAGGCGCCCGCCGGAGGGACCGACCAAACUCUUUCUGUAGUCCCCCCGCGGACGUUAUUUUUACAGCUCUGAGCAAACAUUCAAAAUGAGUCAAAACUUUCAACAACGGAACUCUUGGUUCUG
rnacentral:misc_RNA from 1 species